ensembl:lncRNA
UCCUCUGCGUGACUCAAAGCUGUGUGUACUGAAAACCCGCCGUCGAAUUGACCCCGAGCUGUGUCUCUGCAUCACUCCGUGUUAUCUGGCUGGGUUUAGUUGGGACAGCGGGAGCCACACAUCCUGCUGUCCCUGAGCCCUGGUUCAUGGUGCUGAGUGUGGGGCUUUUUGCUUAUGGGUCCAAGAGGAGUCACCACCCUUUAAGUGCUACCAAGAGGCCUUCCACUCUCCGGUGCAAGAAGAAUUCAAACAGUAAGGCAGCAUUUUUUCUUUCUUAGCAGUUGCUGUUGGGUUGCAUUUUACUCUGGCCAUUCCUUUCCUUCUUGCUGUGUGUUUGAUCACAGGGGUCUGUUUCUUUGCUUUCUGACGUAGCUCCGCUCUGGCAGUCACACCAACAAUUGUGUCUGGGAUGGGUAUUGUCCUGUCUGCUCGUUCUGAAUUCCUUCCAGCAGUGCUUCAUGCCCUCUAGUUGCAGUUUUCCGACCCAGUCGCCCCUCAAUUACUCAUCCAGACCCUGGGACCUCCCCUUGGCACCAGGAUGCAGAGGCAGCUAACCCAGCGGGCAGUGCUGCACUGUGCUGGGGCAAUGCGGGCGCCCUGCCCUGUGUGGAGCACUGUGCGUGGGUCACGGCGAGGAGACCCCAUCCACCUCCCCAGCCCUGCCCAGAGCUCAGCACGGAGAGAAUCCCUCCUGGGAUACCCUGAGGAGCCUCCUUCAUUCUGCAUUUAGCUCCCAGGAUUCACCCCCCCUCUAGGACAAGCCCAUCGUUGAAAAUGCCUUUAGAAACUCCAGUCACAGUCAAAAUUAAAUCAGAAAAUGAACUAUUACUCAAAGUGACUCUCAGUUGCCUGAGAUUUAUACGCUUUGGGCAGCUCGAGCUCCAUUUGCCCGACACCUCGGAAGCCUCACCACCAGCACACCGUGACCGCCUGCAAUUUCACACCACUAUAAGCUUGCUCUCAUUGAGAUUGGGGAGAUGAAAAAUGUCUUUAUUAAGGGAAGUCACAGGUCCCCGAUUGGCUGCUAAGUAUGUUCUAAUGCGUGGGGUGAGGGGUGCGGGGCGGCGGGUGGCAUGGUGG